rfam:Populus trichocarpa scaffold_1_contig_367, whole genome shotgun sequence.
UCUAGAACUCGAGAUAUGGGCUGAACGAAACAAUUUCUAGGCUGGAGGACAAAUUUCAACUUCUCCGUUGUUGUUACCAUUUGAACUCGAAAAUGACACUUUUAAAUCUUGGACUCUUCAUGAAAGUUUUAGGCCUAUGUCUUAGCUUUCCAUA